rnacentral:rRNA from 1 species
UUAAGCGACUAAGCGUACACGGUGGAUGCCCUGGCAGUCAGAGGCGAUGAAGGACGUGCUAAUCUGCGAUAAGCGUCGGUGAGGUGAUAUGAACCGUUAUAACCGGCGAUUUCCGAAUGGGGAAACCCAGUGUGUUUCGACACACUAUCAUUAACUGAAUCCAUAGGUUAAUGAGGCGAACCGGGGAACUGAAACAUCUAAGUACCCCGAGGAAAAGAAAUCAACCGAGAUUCCCCCAGUAGCGGCGAGGCGAACGGGAGGAGCCCAGAGCCUGAAUCAGUGUGUGUGUUAGUGGAAGCGUCUGGAAAGGCGCGCGAUACAGGGUGACAGCCCCGUACACAAAAAUGCACAUAGUUGUGAGCUCGAUGAGUAGGGCGGGACACGUGGUAUCCUGUCUGAAUAUGGGGGGACCAUCCUCCAAGGCUAAAUACUCCUGACUGACCGAUAGUGAACCAGUACCGUGAGGGAAAGGCGAAAAGAACCCCGGCGAGGGGAGUGAAAAAGAACCUGAAACCGUGUACGUACAAGCAGUGGGAGCCUCUUAAUGGGGUGACUGCGUACCUUUUGUAUAAUGGGUCAGCGACUUAUAUUCUGUAGCAAGGUUAACCGAAUAGGGGAGCCGAAGGGAAACCGAGUCUUAACUGGGCGUUAAGUUGCAGGGUAUAGACCCGAAACCCGGUGAUCUAGCCAUGGGCAGGUUGAAGGUUGGGUAACACUAACUGGAGGACCGAACCGACUAAUGUUGAAAAAUUAGCGGAUGACUUGUGGCUGGGGGUGAAAGGCCAAUCAAACCGGGAGAUAGCUGGUUCUCCCCGAAAGCUAUUUAGGUAGCGCCUCGUGAAUUCAUCUCCGGGGGUAGAGCACUGUUUCGGCAAGGGGGUCAUCCCGACUUACCAACCCGAUGCAAACUGCGAAUACCGGAGAAUGUUAUCACGGGAGACACACGGCGGGUGCUAACGUCCGUCGUGAAGAGGGAAACAACCCAGACCGCCAGCUAAGGUCCCAAAGUCAUGGUUAAGUGGGAAACGAUGUGGGAAGGCCCAGACAGCCAGGAUGUUGGCUUAGAAGCAGCCAUCAUUUAAAGAAAGCGUAAUAGCUCACUGGUCGAGUCGGCCUGCGCGGAAGAUGUAACGGGGCUAAACCAUGCACCGAAGCUGCGGCAGCGACACUAUGUGUUGUUGGGUAGGGGAGCGUUCUGUAAGCCUGUGAAGGUGGCCUGUGAGGGUUGCUGGAGGUAUCAGAAGUGCGAAUGCUGACAUAAGUAACGAUAAAGCGGGUGAAAAGCCCGCUCGCCGGAAGACCAAGGGUUCCUGUCCAACGUUAAUCGGGGCAGGGUGAGUCGACCCCUAAGGCGAGGCCGAAAGGCGUAGUCGAUGGGAAACAGGUUAAUAUUCCUGUACUUGGUGUUACUGCGAAGGGGGGACGGAGAAGGCUAUGUUGGCCGGGCGACGGUUGUCCCGGUUUAAGCGUGUAGGCUGGUUUUCCAGGCAAAUCCGGAAAAUCAAGGCUGAGGCGUGAUGACGAGGCACUACGGUGCUGAAGGACAAAUGCCCUGCUUCCAGGAAAAGCCUCUAAGCAUCAGGUAACAUCAAAUCGUACCCCAAACCGACACAGGUGGUCAGGUAGAGAAUACCAAGGCGCUUGAGAGAACUCGGGUGAAGGAACUAGGCAAAAUGGUGCCGUAACUUCGGGAGAAGGCACGCUGAUAUGUAGGUGAAGCGACUUGCUCGUGGAGCUGAAAUCAGUCGAAGAUACCAGCUGGCUGCAACUGUUUAUUAAAAACACAGCACUGUGCAAACACGAAAGUGGACGUAUACGGUGUGACGCCUGCCCGGUGCCGGAAGGUUAAUUGAUGGGGUUAGCGGCAACGCGAAGCUCUUGAUCGAAGCCCCGGUAAACGGCGGCCGUAACUAUAACGGUCCUAAGGUAGCGAAAUUCCUUGUCGGGUAAGUUCCGACCUGCACGAAUGGCGUAAUGAUGGCCAGGCUGUCUCACCCGAGACUCAGUGAAAUUGAACUCGCUGUGAAGAUGCAGUGUACCCGCGGCAAGACGGAAAGACCCCGUUGAACCUUUACUAUAGCUUGACACUGAACAUUGAGCCUUGAUGUGUAGGAUAGGUGGGAGGCUUUGAAGUGUGGACGCCAGUCUGCAUGGAGCCGACCUUGAAAUACCACCCUUUAAUGUUUGAUGUUCUAACGUUGGCCCGUAAUCCGGGUUGCGGACAGUGUCUGGUGGGUAGUUUGACUGGGGCGGUCUCCUCCUAAAGAGUAACGGAGGAGCACGAAGGUUGGCUAAUCCUGGUCGGACAUCAGGAGGUUAGUGCAAUGGCAUAAGCCAGCUUGACUGCGAGCGUGACGGCGCGAGCAGGUGCGAAAGCAGGUCAUAGUGAUCCGGUGGUUCUGAAUGGAAGGGCCAUCGCUCAACGGAUAAAAGGUACUCCGGGGAUAACAGGCUGAUACCGCCCAAGAGUUCAUAUCGACGGCGGUGUUUGGCACCUCGAUGUCGGCUCAUCACAUCCUGGGGCUGAAGUAGGUCCCAAGGGUAUGGCUGUUCGCCAUUUAAAGUGGUACGCGAGCUGGGUUUAGAACGUCGUGAGACAGUUCGGUCCCUAUCUGCCGUGGGCGCUGGAGAACUGAGGGGGGCUGCUCCUAGUACGAGAGGACCGGAGUGGACGCAUCACUGGUGUUCGGGUUGUCAUGCCAAUGGCACUGCCCGGUAGCUAAAUGCGGAAGAGAUAAGUGCUGAAAGCAUCUAAGCACGAAACUUGCCCCGAGAUGAGUUCUCCCUGACCCUUUAAGGGUCCUGAAGGAACGUUGAAGACGACGACGUUGAUAGGCCGGGUGUGUAAGCGCAGCGAUGCGUUGAGCUAACCGGUACUAAUGAACCGUGAGGCUUAACCUU